AUCCCCCUCCGGCAGCGCUAGGCCGUGCCGCGGGGAGGCGAAGGGGGCCAGGCCACCCGCCGUUGGGGAGGCUGGUGUGGUCCCCGGGGCCAGGCCAGGGCUGAGUGGGGGUGGAGGUGGCGGCGGCGGCGCCGAAGCCCCUGGGGCGGGCUGGAGCUGUUGUUGAUGAUGGUGGUGAUGAUGCUGAGAGCGACGCGACGCCGCCAUCUUCGGACUCCCCCAGCACUGUCACUGCGGCAACGGCCCCACCGCCCGCCCUCACUUCCGACCGCUAGGCCAAUUAGCAUCCAGCGCACAGGAAAUGAUGCGGAGCGGAGUGGGAGGGGCCAAAGAGAAGGAGGGAAGUAUUGGGAGCUCAGAGGAAAGCCGAUGAACGGGGCGUGGCUUUGUGACCGAGGGGCGGGUUUUGUGAAUGAGGGGCGGGCUUUGUGAAGCCUUGGCGGGCCGGCUGCGGAGAUUUGAAAGUUGGAGCAGACCACUCCAUAAAUGAGGCACUUUUCUUUCCUCCAUUCUCGCUUUCAGUUUGCUUGCCUUGCCCUGCUUGGUUCUGUCGCCACGUCUCCUUUAGUCUUCCGUAUCUUGCUCCGGAGCGUGCUCCUAAGGCGUAACUCAGUGCAAGAAGGGACUGUAUCGCUUAUCAUGUCUCAGGUGGCCUUGUCUGAGAAAUGGAACUUCUGUCGUCAACAUGAGAUUAGAAGCAUGGCCUAGUGAGUUCGCUGGUCCAAGAAAGACCUGAGCCCAUCCUGCUGCCUGGAGCCCAGCCCCUGUUGAGAAGACCCCUCAUGUGACCCACAGAUGAAUGGGCAAAGAAAUUCUAUGCUCCAAUGUGCCCGGAGAUAUGAAGCAUGACAAGAACUACCACCCAAGCAGUUGUCAGAAUGAAAAGGCUUUGACAGCGGCUCCUCCAGGGGCUUGCCCUUCUCCCGCAAGCCAUCAACAAUGAAGAUGCUCCUGGGAUGGAAGGAUGGUGACUUUCCAGGCAGAAACUGUUUUCAGAAUCUGUACUUGUUUACUCAAAGGGGAUAUCAAAGAAAAAAGUUAAGGCAUUUCUUGAAUGAGGAAGAAAAGUGAAUGACAAGUAGAUUCGAAACUGAAAGCAAUAAAAUGAAUGUGGCUUUAAAAAAAAAUGCUUUUAAACAAGCGCCCUCCAGCAUCUCAAGAGCAUCAUGACCAGAGAGCAGAGUGCUGUUCUGCCAUCAGAGGAGGACGAGUAGAUCCUGAAUGCGGCCCGAGAGAGACACAAUUCAGAGCUAGGUGGUACCAAGGCCACUUAAACCUGGACAGCUGCAGUGAAAGGUGCAAUCCAGAAACAUAUUCGGAGUUGGCCUUGAUUUAAAAGGAAAACCUAAUGAGAAUUUUAAAGCAUGCAAUGGUACCACACUAUUGUCCCGUUCCUAGUCCUUAGGGCCUUGUGGGAGGUCAUUUUGCUGUGGGAGGUGGUGAUAAAAUGGCAGCGAGGAAGGAAUCCAGGACAAAAAAUAAUGCCUUGGUUUCCACGGGUAGGAACUUAAGCUCCAUUCUCUUCUCACCUGAGAGUCUCUCUAGCAUGUUCCUGGGUGAUGCUCUGGUGUCUUUGAAGCUUCGAGGGUAAGCUACACACAAGGUGGGGGGACGGAGUUUAGAGGGACUAGGUUAGGAUGUUCCAAUGGGGGCAGAGCUGGUGACCUCUGAAGGCUUCUCUGAUAAGAAGAAUCUCUGAUUCUACCAAUAAGCAACCAGAAACAAGUGCCCCCAGGAUCCCACUGUAAGCGAAGGGAGAGAAUUCUCUUUUCCUCUAGAGAAAAGUACCUUAAGCACACUGACCCUCUAGGGAGUGCCUACCCCACCUACUGGGACCUGCAGUUCCAAAUACCCAGCAGGAAAGACAAAUGAGAUUCUGAAAUAGUUGUGAAGAGAUUCCUUUCUGUACUUAAAAAAAAUUUUUUUAACGUUUAUUAUUGAGAGAGAGAGAGAGAGAGAGAGAGAGAAUGAGAGAGCAGGGGAGGGGCAGAGAGAGAAGGAGACACAGAAUCCAAAGCAGGUUCCAGGCUCUGAGCUGUCAGCACAGAGCCCGACGCAGGACUCGAACCCACGAUCUGCAAGAUCAUGACCUGAGCCGAAAUUGGACCCUCAACCAACUCAACUGAGUCACUCAGGUGCCCCCCUUUCUUUACUUUUGAGGUGUAAUGGAUAUAUAACAUAUUAAUUUCAGGUGCACAACAUAAUGAUUUGGCGUUUGCAUAUAUUGCAAAAUGAUCGCCACAGUGUCUGGUUAUGACAGCCAUCAUCACACACAGCCACUGCUUUUCUUUUCUUGUGAUGAGAACGUUUAAGAUCCACUCUCAGCAACUUUCGAACAUGCAAUACAGUAUUAACUAUAGUUGCUACGCUGUCCAUCACAUUCCCAGUACUUACUUUAUUUUAUAGCUGGAAGGUUGUACCUUUUGGCCUCCUUCAUCCGAUUCGCCCACCUUUCAUGGAAAAGAUUCCUUUUU